rnacentral:rRNA from 1 species
AUUGAACGCUGGCGGCAUGCUUUACACAUGCAAGUCGAACGGUAACAGGCCGCAAGGUGCUGACGAGUGGCGAACGGGUGAGUAAUGCAUCGGAACGUGCCCAGUCGUGGGGGAUAACGCAGCGAAAGCUGCGCUAAUACCGCAUACGAUCUAUGGAUGAAAGCAGGGGACCGUAAGGCCUCGCGCGAUUGGAGCGGCCGAUGUCAGAUUAGGUAGGUGGUGGGGUAAAGGCUCACCAAGCCAACGAUCUGUAGCUGGUCUGAGAGGACGACCAGCCAGACGGGGACUGAGACACGGCCCAGACUCCUACGGGAGGCAGCAGUGGGGAGUUUUGGACAAUGGGCGCAAGCCUGAUCCAGCAAUGCCGGGUGCAGGAAGAAGGCCUUCGGGUUGUAAACUGCUUUUGUACGGAACGAAACGGUCCUGGUUAAUACCCGGGGCUAAUGACGGUACCGUAAGAAUAAGCACCGGCUAACUACGUGCCAGCCGCCGCGGUAAGAC